rnacentral:rRNA from 1 species
AACGAACGCUGGCGGCAUGCCUAACACAUGCAAGUCGAACGAAACCUUCGGGUCUAGUGGCGCACGGGUGCGUAACGCGUGGGAACCUGCCCUUAGGUUCGGAAUAACUCCCCGAAAGGUGUGCUAAUACCGGAUAAUGUCUUCGGACCAAAGAUUUAUCGCCUGUGGAUGGGCCCGCGUUGGAUUCGCUAGUUGGUAGGGUAAAAGCCUACCAAGGCGACGAUCCAUAGCUGGUCUGAGAGGAGGAUCAGCCACACUGGGACUGAGACACGGCCCAGACUCCUGCGGGAGGCAGCAGUGGGGAAUAUUGGACAGGGGGCGAAAGCCUGAUCCAGCAAUGCCGCGAGAGUGAUGAAGGCCUUAGGGUUGUAAAGCUCUUUUACCCGGGAUGAUAAUGACAGUACCGGGAGAAUAAGCUCCGGCUAACUCCGU